AGUUCAUGAUGUAAAUAUCUUGCUUGUAAUUCUUUGAAAUACUCCCAAGCCUCGUACAAUGAUUCAUCCUAUUGUUGAGCAAAUUCUAUUAUCUCCAUUCUUAAUU